CCAUGCAGUACCCGUACCGUAAACCGACACAGGUGGAUGAGGAGAGAAUCCUAAGGCCGACGGAAGAAGCAUUGUUAAGGAACUCGGCAAAAUGACCCCGUAACUUCGGGAGAAGGGGUGCCCCUGAAAGGGGGCCGCAGUGAAAUGGCCCAAGCAACUGUUUAGCAAAAACACAGGUCUAUGCGAAACCGAAAGGUGAGGUAUAUGGGCUGACGCCUGCCCGGUGCUGGAAGGUUAAGGGGAGAGGUUAGCGAAAGCGAAGCUUUGAACUUAAGCCCCAGUAAACGGCGGCCGUAACUAUAACGGUCCUAAGGUAGCGAAAUUCCUUGUCGGGUAAGUUCCGACCCGCACGAAAGGCGUAAUGAUUUGGGCACUGUCUCGACAAUGCAUCCGGUGAAAUUGAAGUACCAGUGAAGAUGCUGGUUACCCGCGCCAGGACGGAAAGACCCCAUGGAGCUUUACUCCAGCUUGGUACUGGGGUCCGGUAUUGCAUGUACAGGAUAGGUGGGAGGCUAGGAAGUGGAGACGCCAGUCUUCAUGGAGCCGCUGUUGGGAUACCACCCUUGCAGUAUUGGGCUUCUAACAGGUGCCCGUGAUCCGGGCAAUGGACAAUGCCAGGCGGGGAGUUUGACUGGGGCGGUCGCCUCCGAAAGGGUAUCGGAGGCGCCCAAAGGUUCCCUCAGGAUGGUUGGAAACCAUCCGAAGAGUGCAAAGGCAGAAGGGAGCUUGACUGCGACACCGACGGGUGGAGCAGGUACGAAAGUAGGGCUUAGUGAUCCGGUGGUAUUAAGUGGGAAUGCCAUCGCUCAACGGAUAAAAGCUACCCUGGGGAUAACAGGCUUAUCACUCCCAAGAGUUCACAUCGACGGAGUGGUUUGGCACCUCGAUGUCGGCUCAUCGCAUCCUGGGGCUGUAGUAGGUCCCAAGGGUUGGGCUGUUCGCCCAUUAAAGCGGUACGCGAGCUGGGUUCAGAACGUCGUGAGACAGUUCGGUCCCUAUCCGGCGUGGGCGUAGGAUAUUUGAGAGGAGCUGUCCUUAGUACGAGAGGACCGGGAUGGACUGACCUCUGGUGUACCGGUUGUUCCACCAGGAGCAUGGCCGGGUAGCCAAGUCGGGAAGGGAUAAACGCUGAAGGCAUCUAAGCGUGAAGCCCCCCUCAAGAUGAGAUAUCCCAUACGCAAGUAGUAAGACCCCUUGAAGACGACGAGGUAGAUAGGGCAGAGGUGGAAGCACAGCAAUGUGUGGAGCUGACUGUCACUAAUAGGUCGAGGGCUUAACCAA
rfam:Lachnoclostridium sp. An196 An196_contig_10, whole genome shotgun sequence.